GCACGCCGCGUGAGUGAGAGGUCUUCGGAUCGUAAAACUCUGUUGUUAGAGAAGAACAUGCAGGAGAGUAACUGUUCUUGUAUUGACGGUAUCUAACCAGAAAGCCACGGCUAACUACGUGCCAGCAGCCGCGGUAAUACGUAGGUGGCAAGCGUUGUCCGGAUUUAUUGGGCGUAAAGGGAACGCAGGCGGUCCUUUAAGUCUGAUGUGAAAGCCUUCGGCUUAACCGAAGAAUUGCAUUGGAAACUGGAGGACUUGAGUGCAGAAGAGGAGAGUGGAACUCCAUGUGUAGCGGUAA
rnacentral:rRNA from 1 species